AAAUAAUUUUUCAUAUCAUUUUAUAUAAUAUUCGUAUUUUUUACCCUUAAUUUACUAUUAUUUCUUCUAUUUAUACACGAAAACCUAAUUUUUUUUAAUUAUAAGCUUAAAGGGUGAUUGGACAAUUCAUACGGCUACAAUGCAGCUUUAUAGGGUCUAUUUCUUCUUUGCAGUAAAUUCACGAGAAGGAGAUUGACAAAAUCAACUCAAUAAGUCUAAAUUUAUUUAGUUUAUUUGAUUGGAAUAUGAAUUAAUAUUGUAACACAUAAAAUAAUAGCAAAUGAUGGAUAAAAAAAUUAAAAAAUCAUAUAUUAUGAAUCACUGAAACAUAAUACACCAUGCCACCAAGUACCCGCCAGAAAAAUCGUAGCCGUCUUCCUUAGCCGUGGGUAAGAAACUACUCACGGCUAAAUCGUACGACUACACUUUUGUGGCGGGUAAGUUAUUAAAUGUGUUUAAAAUAAUUUUUCAUAUCAUUUUAUAUAAUAUUCGUAUUUUUUACCCUUAAUUUACUACUAUUUCUUCUAUUUAUACACGAAAACCUUUAUUUUUUUAAUUUAUAAGCUUAAAGGGUGAUUGGACAAUUCAUACGGCUAUACAGAUAGGCGAGAAUCGCGGAAGCUUUAUUGGGGGAUGUACACGGCUGUAUCUCAAAUUCACAAGGCAAUUGAAGGGUUGUUUGACCAAGAAGGUUUGAAUUGGGGCCAUUUACAUGUAUAACAAUUACAACUUUUAACCUAGCCGCAUUCCAAUUUGAAUUCACGGCAUCUGUUUAUUUUUUGAGAGAGAGUGAGAGAGAGAGGCAGCCGAGAAAGAGAGAUAGAGGAGAAAGAGCAUCUGGUCCAUUUUUGAGAGAGAGGAGAGCAUUCACGUCUUGCAUACACCGAAGGAGGGCUUGCACGAUUUUUUCAACUUGAAGGCAUAUACCAUGGCUUCUUCUUCAAACGAAAUGGGUUAUCGGAGGCCCGAAACAAUAAAUCGCCCCGGGACGCAGAUCAGUUCUUACUACAAGACCAGUUAUUUGUCCCUUGUACCCGAGCAACUGAGGGAAAUUGGGGGCGACGCACUGGAGACCACGUUCAGGCAGGGUUGCUUUGGACAUUUGUUGGAUUGGGAUCCGGGCAACAGGUGCAACAUGGCAUUGCACCAUAUUGUCUCUCGUUCUUU